ensembl:lncRNA
CUAAGAUGAGAAAAUGUGGUCUUUGUGACGGUCUCUCCUGGCACUCUACCUCUCCAAACAUUCUGCAUUUUGGCAGUGCACAAGGUUCUGUUGUACCCAGUAAAGAAUGAUGUGCCUAGCACAAACGCCCAAGGAACUAUGGUUAAAGAAUGACACCACCCAAUUCUGAUUGAGUCACACACAUCACUAAUGUUGACAAAACUUUUAACAAGAACUAUUACCAGGUUUUAGGUUUACCAGACAGAAACAUGAUUUGAACAAUGAAAAAGACAUGCUGCACAGAUAAUUGUAAAGUCCUUUUACAAUCCUUUUGGAAUCAGGGCGUUCUCCCGGGGACACAGCCUAGAGUUCUGUCACCAAGAAUGACUGUUGUCUGAUUUGUUCCAGAACUUCCUCCUGGUUCCUUGGAGCUCCUGAGAUCAAAACAAAAGAACAUCUGGUAGAAUCUUCAAAUGCAGCACGGACUUGAUUGACAGAUAUGUAUUGAAGAAGGCACAAGGAACGAGCAGCAGAUACAAAGCUCUGUAGGCCGCCAGCAGGAUGGAGUAGACAUCAGAUACACCGACACAACCUUGACCAGAUGGACAAGGACAGGGACAGCAAUGGGCUCCCCAAACCAGAUGUGCACCUCGACGCUAGACCUUCCCUGUCACGUCACAGGACAUGAGUUUCUGAGAGAAAGACCACGAGCUGAAAAUGUUCCACUCAAUUGAACCAAUCACUGCUCUGCUGCCCUUUAAUGGUGAAGUCGAUCUAGUCACUAUCACGGAAAUACACACCAGCGACUCUCUGACACCAUUCAGACCCUGCUACUCUCUGACAACAUCAGACCCUGCUACUCUCCGAUAACAUCAGAACCUGCUACUCAGACAGAUGGACAGGUUGGGGGUUGCUCUCAUCACAAUCUCAUGUGAGUAAACUAAUACAGCUCCGGAAGAAAUUAAGAGACCAUUGCACCUUUUUCAUUCCUUUCCAAAAAAGUCGAAAAGGAAGGUUUUGAGUGAGGAACAGAAGGGUAAAUAUUAAGAGACCACUGCAAAUUGAACGCUGCUGUUCCACACUCAAAACUUUCCUUUUUAACUUUUUUGGAAAGGAAAGUAAAAGGUGCAGUGGUCUCUGCAUUUUUUCCAGAGCUGCAUAGCCAAGAACGUUUAUCGUAAACUGCAACAAUUGAAUCAUAUAUAGUUGAUUUUACCAGAUUUACAUUAACAUGUACAUCAGCAUGAAAAAGCUCGUUCGUGAAGAGAAGUCUUCGUCAAGUCAUAUUAAGAUGACUUCCAUGUUAUCUGUUCAUUUUGGAGUUGAGUUUCAUCUCAACAGGCAUGUUUUGU